rnacentral:rRNA from 1 species
UACAGAGGUCCCAAGCGUUGUUCGGAUUCAUUGGGCGUAAAGGGUGCGUAGGUGGCUUUGUAAGUCAGUGGUGAAAUGCCGCAGCUCAACUGCGGAACUGCCAUUGAUACUGCUUAGCUUGAAUCACGUCGAGGUGGAUGGAAUAUUACAUGUAGCGGUGAAAUGCUUAGAUAUGUAAUAGAACACCGAUUGCGAAGGCAGUUCACUAGGCGUGUAUUGACACUGAGGCACGAAAGCGUGGGGAUCAAACAGG